ACAAGCAGUUGGCUGGCAAGGUGCUUGUGUAAAUGCUUCUUUUGGAAACAGCUCUUCAGCUCAAGCACAAUGGUAUAAACCAGCAACUGAGGUUUCUCUUGAGUCAUGAAACACUGAGAAAUGGACUCAAGUCUCACCUGAGAUAGCUUUCACAUGGAGCAUCUGCCCUGAACUUAUUGCCUCCCAUGGACCAGCAGAGAUGAGGAGCUGGUUGAGAUACUCCUGGCAUGCUCCCUGAUUUGGCAAACUGUAACCCAAAGCCUACUUUGUCACGUUUCCUCUGUUCUUGUAUUAUUGUUUUAGACCAUUUUGUCUCAUCUCACUCGCUUAGCUAUGGGUACUGUGCUCUAAAAGACGCCUGCUGUCUUUGAAGUACUGAUGCUGUUUGCAGGUACUGGCUGCAAUCUGUGUUUUUUCCUUUCUAAAAUGGAGCCGUGCAAAGGAAAUUGUUUUUACAAAACUGAAGCUAUCCAAGAACGAACAAGUCCAUUGUUUAGAGAGGAGACCUUUGGGCAGCAAUGCAACGACGACCUGGUGCUUUGUUGUGUCUACAGAUUGCUUCGUCUGCGAAACAUUGCACGUCUUCAUCACAAGCAACUGUUAUACUUCGUUUGGUCCAACCAGAUAACUUUUCAUGAAAUAUUAAAUUAGUACUCCUUCUCAUUAUUCAGCACACGCAUCUGGAGACUGUCACAUCUUAUCUGAUUCAAGUAACAAAUCCUGUUCGAUUUUUGGAAGCAAAGUAUAGCAUUUAGUGGGUGGCACCCCUGUCUGUGGCAGGGGGGUUGGAACUAGCUUCCAACCCAUGCUGUUCUAUGAUCCUAUGAUAAAAAUGUUUUGACUUCACUGACAUCUGAGAAUUUUGCUUCUCAUCUUUGAAAAUCUGUUCUAAUCACAUAGAAAAACACUCAUAGAUGACUUUUUUUUUUUUAAAUCACUUUUUUUUUUUUCAGGUAAAGUAUUCCUAAAAUAACUCUAACAAAUUCACGUGACAACAUCUGCAAAAAUUAUCAAUACAACUCACGGUGCAGACAAAGAACAUAAUUUUCAAUAGCUGGAAGUUGGGAGGAAAAAAAAAAAAGAGAAGGAACCAAGGUCAAAUGCUACCAAUUAAAAGAGGAAAAGUUUAUGCUGAAGAAGACGGUAGAGAACACCUUUGCUUGUACCUGAAGUCCUUAAUCAAUCUUUGACAGCCAUAGGGGUAGAUAUUAUGGAGACAGAUUUCAAAACAUUACCUGUGCAUCACAUGCACAAUCCAGUUAAAAUGUAUGAACACACACUACUGGAAUCCUAGAGGUUAGGAUGACAAAAGCUAGAGAGUUUGACAGUGAGUUGAAGAAGAACUGUGCAGUUUUCAGCUCCCAGGAAGGAUGUGUUUUGAAUUUCUGGUGUGAAAACCUUGCACCAGAAUUGUAUGUCUGGUAGUAUUAGAAAGGCAAAACACCUCUGUAGUAGGAUAGACGCAA